UUUAGCAUUCGGUUUAUUGUCCACAAUCGCGUUACCGACCGCGUGCAACAAGUGUGUUUUACCUAGGCCAGUACCACCGUA
rnacentral:antisense_RNA from 1 species